CCUACGGGUGGCAGCAGUCGAGAAUCAUUCACAAUGGGGGAAACCCUGAUGGUGCGACGCCGCGUGGGGGAAUGAAGGUCUUCGGAUUGUAAACCCCUGUCAUGUGGGAGCAAAUUAAAAAGCUAGUACCCCAAGAGGAAGAGACGGCUAACUCUGUGCCAUCAGCCGCGGUAAUACAGAGGUCUCAAGCGUUGUUCGGAAUCACUGGGCGUAAAGCGUGCGUAGGCUGUUUCGUAAGUCGUGGGGGAAAGGCGCGGGCUCAACCCGCGGACGGCACAUGAUACUGCAAGACUAGAGGAAUGGAGGGGGAACUGGAAUUCGCGGUGUAGCAGUGAAAUGCGUAGAUAUCGAGAGGAACACUCGUGGCGAAGGCGGGUUCCUGGACAUUAACUGACGCUGAGGCACGAAGGCCAGGGGAGCGAAAGGGAUUAGAUACCCCAGUAGUC
rnacentral:rRNA from 1 species